rnacentral:rRNA from 1 species
AGUAGUUUGAUCAUGGCUCGAGGACGAACGCUGGCGGCGUGCUUAACACAUGCAAGUCGAACGAGAAUCUGUGGAAAGAGGAUUCGUCCAAUUGAAGCAGAGGACAGUGGCGGACGGGCGAGUAACGCGUGAGGAACCUGCCUUUCAGAGGGGGACAACAGUUGGAAACGACUGCUAAUACCGCAUAACGCAUAAGAGUCGCAUGGCUCAUAUGCCAAAGAUUUAUCGCUGAAAGAUGGCCUCGCGUCUGAUUAGCUAGUUGGUGAGGUAACGGCCCACCAAGGCGACGAUCAGUAGCCGGACUGAGAGGUUGAACGGCCACAUUGGGACUGAGAUACGGCCCAGACUCC